UACGAAGGGGGCUAGCGUUGCUCGGAUUUACUGGGCGUAAAGGGCGCGUAGGCGGAUCGACAAGUUGGGGGUGAAAUCCCGGGGCUCAACCUCGGAACUGCCUCCAAAACUGCCGGUCUUGAGUUUGGGAGAGGUGUGUGGAACUCCGAGUGUAGAGGUGAAAUUCGUAGAUAUUCGGAAGAACACCAGUGGCGAAGGCGACACACUGGCCCAAUACUGACGCUGAGGCGCGAAAGCGUGGGGAGCAAACAGG
rnacentral:rRNA from 1 species